AUUGAACGCUGGCGGCGUGCCUAACACAUGCAAGUCGAGCGGAGCGGCGGACGGGUGAGUAAUGCCUAGGAAUCUGCCUGUUGGUGGGGUAUAACGUCCGGAGACGGGCGCUAAUACCGCAUACUUUAAGAUGAGUCUCGGUCGUCUUAGCUAGUUGGUGGGGUAAAGGCCUACCAAGGCGAUGAGCCGUAACGGGUCUGAGAGGAGUAUCAGUCACACGGGAACGGAGACACGGCCCAGACUCCUACGGGAGGCAGCAUUGGGGAAUAUUGGGCAAUGGGCGAAAGCCUGAUCCAGCCAGGCCGCGUGUGUGAAGAAGGUCUUCGGAUUGUAAAGCACUUUAAGUUGGGAGGCGGUACCAACAGAAUAAGCACCGGCUAACUUCGUGCCAGCAGCCGCGGUAAUUC
rnacentral:rRNA from 1 species